rnacentral:rRNA from 1 species
CGCCUCACCGCGUGCACUGGUCCGGCCGGGCCUUUCCUUCUGGGGAGCCGCAUGCCCUUCACUGGGUGUGUCGGGGAACCAGGACUUUUACUUUGAAAAAAUUAGAGUGUUCAAAGCAGGCCUAUGCUCGAAUACAUUAGCAUGGAAUAAUAGAAUAGGACGUGUGGUUCUAUUUUGUUGGUUUCUAGGACCGCCGUAAUGAUUAAUAGGGAUAGUCGGGGGCAUCAGUAUUCAAUUGU